UACGAAGGGGGCUAGCGUUGCUCGGAAUCACUGGGCGUAAAGGGUGCGUAGGCGGGGCUUUAAGUCAGGGGUGAAAUCCUGGAGCUCAACUCCAGAACUGCCUUUGAUACUGAGGAUCUUGAGUACGGGAGAGGUGAGUGGAAUUCCCAGUGUAGCGGUGAAAUGCGUAGAUAUUGGGAGGAACACCAGUGGCGAAGGCGGCUCGCUGGACCGGUUCUGACGCUGAGGCGCGAAAGCGUGGGGAGCAAACAGG
rnacentral:rRNA from 1 species